AAGCAUCUAAGCGGGAAGCCCCCUUCAAGAUGAGACAUCCCCGAGACCUAGAGUCUCCUAAAGGGCCCAGCGAGACCAGCUGGUGGAUAGGCACGGUGUGGAAGCGCUGCAAGGCGUUGAGCUAACGUGUACUAAUGGCCCGUGAGGCUUGACCCU
rnacentral:ncRNA from 1 species